rnacentral:rRNA from 1 species
AGUGAACGCUGGCGGUAGGCCUAACACAUGCAAGUCGAACGGCAGCACAGUAAGAGCUUGCUCUUACGGGUGGCGAGUGGCGGACGGGUGAGGAAUACAUCGUAAUCCACUUUUUCGGGGGGGAUAACGUAGGGAAACUUACGCUAAUACCGCAUACGACCUACGGGUGAAAGCAGGGGAUCUUCGGACCUUGCGCGAUUGAAUGAGCCGAUGUCGGAUUAGCUAGUUGGCGGGGUAAAGGCCCACCAAGGCGACGAUCCGUAGCUGGUCUGAGAGGAUGAUCGGCCACACUGGAACUGAGACACGGUCCAGACUCCUACGGGAGGCAGCAGUGGGGAAUAUUGGACAAUGGGCGCAAGCCUGAUCCAGCCAUACCGCGUGGGUGAAGAAGGCCUUCGGGUUGUAAAGCCCUUUUGUUGGGAAAGAAAAGCAGCAGGUUAAUACCCCGCUGUUCUGACGGUACCCAAAGAAUAAGCACCGGCUAACUUCGUG